CUUUUAAUGAAGCCUUGUCUGUAUUCAACAAGUUUUUCCCCAGUAUUCCGUCAAAGAAGAGAUCAAGAUCAGAAGGCUUUUCUAGUGAUAGGCCUAAUGCCUUGUUAUCAAGUGAUCGAUCAGUUCUGGGGCCAAGCCUAUGGGGAUUCAUAAUCAUGCUGUUACUGGUGGUGGUUUUGAACUUGAACAGCAGAAGUCAGAGGAGAGAACCAAAAAUGUUGU
rnacentral:misc_RNA from 1 species